rnacentral:rRNA from 1 species
UACGGAGGGAGCUAGCGUUGUUCGGAAUUACUGGGCGUAAAGCGCACGUAGGCGGCUUUGUAAGUUAGAGGUGAAAGCCCGGAGCUCAACUCCGGAAUUGCCUUUAAGACUGCAUCGCUUGAAUCCGGGAGAGGUGAGUGGAAUUCCGAGUGUAGAGGUGAAAUUCGUAGAUAUUCGGAGGAACACCAGUGGCGAAGGCGGCUUACUGGUCCAUUACUGACGCUGAGGUGCGAAAGCGUGGGGGAGCAAACAGG